AACGCACGAGACCUGCGGACCUGCGGAAGGAUCAUUACCGAGUUUACAACUCCCAAACCCCAAUGUGAACAUUACCUUUACUGUUGCUUCGGCGGGAUCGCCCCGGGCGCGGCCGAGAGGCCCAGCCCCGGAUCCAACGUGCGCCCGCCGGAGGACCCCAGACUCCAUGUUUCUUGCAAGGUAUUUCUGAGCUGCUCCUAGCGAGCAAAACAAAAAAUGAAUCAAAACUUUCAGCAAUGG
rnacentral:misc_RNA from 1 species